AUACGUAGGGGGCGAGCGUUGUCCGGAAUGAUUGGGCGUAAAGGGCGCGUAGGCGGCCCGGUAAGUCUGGAGUGAAAGUCCUGUUUUUAAGAUGGGAAUUGCUUUGGAUACUGUCGGGCUUGAGCGCAGGAGAGGUAAGUGGAAUUCCCAGUGUAGCGGUGAAAUGCGUAGAGAUUGGGAGGAACACCAGUGGCGAAGGCGACUUACUGGACUGUAACUGACGCUGAGGCGCGAAAGUGUGGGGAGCAAACAGGAUUAGAUACCCUGGUAGUCCACACUGUAAACGAUGAAUGCUAGGUGUAGGAGGUAUCGACCCCUUCUGUGCCGCAGUAAACACAGUAAGCAUUCCGCCUGGGGAGUACGGUCGCAAGAUUAAAACUCAAAGGAAUUGACGGG
rnacentral:rRNA from 1 species